GCUCCUCCGUUUUUGGCUCCUAGUACACGUAAUGGCACUGGAAGAAUUCACGGGUAUAUUUUGAAAUCCCCGUGUUCUGGCAGUGGCAUCCCUGGUACUAAGGUGAUUCAUCAGUUUCGGUG
rnacentral:pre_miRNA from 11 species